GAUGAACGCUGGCGGCGUGCCUAAUACAUGCAAGUCGAGCGAACAGACGAGGAGCUUGCUCCUCUGACGUUAGCGGCGGACGGGUGAGUAACACGUGGAUAACCUACCUAUAAGACUGGGAUAACUUCGGGAAACCGGAGCUAAUACCGGAUAAUAUAUUGAACCGCAUGGUUCAAUAGUGAAAGACGGUUUUGCUGUCACUUAUAGAUGGAUCCGCGCCGCAUUAGCUAGUUGGUAAGGUAACGGCUUACCAAGGCAACGAUGCGUAGCCGACCUGAGAGGGUGAUCGGCCGCACUGGAACUGGGACACGGUCCAGACUCCUACGGGAGGGAGCAGUAGGGAAUCUUACGCAAUAGGCGAAAGCCUGACGGAGCAACGCCGAGUGAGUGAUGAAGGUCUUCGGAGCGUAAAACUCUGUUAUUAGGGAAGAACAAAUGUGUAAGUAACUAUGCACGUCUUGACGGUACCUAAUCAGAAAGCCACGGCUAACUACGUG
rnacentral:rRNA from 1 species